rnacentral:lncRNA from 1 species
UCAGAUCUAACGGUUCAAAACACUUGCCCUAUUUUUGUUAUAUUUAUUUGAAACCCCUUCAAACAACCUCGUCCAAAAUAAUGUACUUCAUCUUCUCAUCUCCUAACCCUAGAGCACCGCCUAAAUUUCUACCAUCUCUGGCCGGCGGCUGCACCUCCAAACAACCCCAAAUUAAUACCACGACCUCCUCUUUCCCAAUCCUUAACUGGCUUCCCUCAAAUCACCCUAGGAUUCUUCGAAUCUUGAAUCAAGUUCCGAACCCUAAAAUUCUAAAUCUCCCAAAUCGGCAAAGGUUGGAGUGGAGUUUGAUUUUAUUCGUGUGUUCUUAACGAGAACACACGAUUAAUGUCAAUAUCGGCUAAAAUCGGAGGUGUUGAAGGAUUUUUUCAGUUUCCUAUUGUCCAGAGUGUUCCUUUAAAUAUUUUUUCUUUUUCUUCUAUUCUUCAUUUUUUAUCUGUGGUUUUCCGUCUCCAUCUCCUUUUGUUUCAUCCUUCCUUUUUCCUUAUCAUUUUUCGCUUUUUGUUUGUUUUGUGCGAACCACUUGCUGCUGGCAUGUCUGAAAUUUAGAAAGAAAAGAAAACUUGUUAGUUCAUUUGUUUUUAAUUUUCUUUUUUGCGUUUAAGUUUCAAUUAAUCCCUAUCUUUUGUCAUUUCUUUUUUUUCCUUAAAAAAAGAAAUAUUUUGGGUAAUGGGCAAUUUUGUUUCGUCCAGCAAUUCUAUAGGGGCUCUGUUAAUCAGAGGCCCAAGGAAAAGGGACUCAAUCCGGGUAGUAAGUCCAUUGGUUUUGAGGCUGAACCUGUGGUUCAAUUUGACCCAUAUCUGUUUUGUAUGUUGGGGUAAAUAACAUGGGUUUUUAAGGUUAAUUCAGGGAUUUAGGAUAGGGAAUCUUUAAUAACUGAAUGGGGAAGCUUCCUGGAAGGUGGGUUUGGGACUAACUUGAAAAGUUGAUUUUAAACUAAGGUUAUAGGAGCAAAAACAAAAAUUACAAAAGGAUUAAAAGGCAGAACUGAAUUCAUUUUCUACUGCCCUAAGGCUUGCCUAUAAAGGCAGUGUUUCUUCUCACACAAGUCAGAUUUUAGAGAAAUUGAAGACUAAUAAACACUGAAAAAGCUUUAAAAACGACUGAGGUAAAAUGAGCUCCAAAACUGUUACAUUUUUGGUAGAAAUUGAUCUAGUUCUGCAAUUAGUCGUUCAAUUAUGAAACCUUCAAAUGAUUUCUAGCUUGUUUUGGGAUUCAAAGAUGGUUUAAAGGCUGUUUUGCACUGUUCUAUUGCUGCUGAAAUACUGUUGUUGUUGACUGAACCUUCUCAUUUUUGCUGAUCUUUAAGUACGUCUUCUUCUUCUGUUUAAUAUUGCUGUAUCCUUUGAUAUAUGAAACGGGAGGACAUGAAGUUUGUUUGAUUGAACUGAAACUUUGUGACACAUCAGUUGGUUAAAUGCUAUUUUGCACUCCUGAAACUAGUUGGUUUAUGCAGUUUAGUUUAGUUUUUAAUCUGUGUACAUUUGAUUAAUUUUGUUGCUGAGUUUUGAAAGCUUUAGGUAAAUGCUCUAGUUUGGCUGAUUGGUUUGUAUAUGGAUUGGUAUGCUGUUUAAAUGUGGAAACUGAGAAAAUGAAUUUUUUGUUGUUAUA